ensembl:lncRNA
GUGGGGCUCUGGCUGGCACGCAUAUCUUUAAUUGUUGUAUUGUGAUAGGAAAGAUGAUGGGAGCCUGGUUGCCUAGCAACCAUUUUACAUAGACCACCCUAAAGAAAGAUAUUAAAGCUUGACAGUAAAUACAAAAAGGACAUUUUAUACCCUAGGAAUCUUUAAAACAUCAAAGAGUUCCAUAGCUUACCAUCAUAAAUUAAAAGUGCAAUGAGCCCUUGGACCCUUUGGACCCCAAACCUUUCCUGAACAGUGAAGGGAGCAAUUAUAGCUAGUAGCUACCUGGCCUGCAACCUCAAGGGAGGAGAUGGGAGGGGUGACCACGGUGAAGAGUAAUACCAGGAUGAAAAGCAUAUCAUUGACACUCACCGCAUCAGCAAAGGGCAAGGAAGCCAGGAGACAAAAGGACUCUUUGGAAGAAGAUAAUUCUGUUACUUCAUUUUGCAGCUGUGUGAGGGAGACCUCUAAUUUUGCAACUGAAGUGUUCUGCCUGCAGUCAACUGUGUUCCCAAUUGGUGGGUGCCAUCAGUGGCAGAUGCAAGUGAAAGGAUCCUUGGAAUGAUGCUGGGCAUUGUGCUGUUGAUGACACCUGGCUUUUGAGGAGUUGGAAGAUGUAGUGGGAGCUGAGCGGCAACUAGUCUAGGGGCUGAGUUUGCUGAUGUUUCUGUGCCACUGAAGACCAAGUGAGAUUUCACUAUGGAGCAAUUUCAGAUGAGGAUGUGAUCAAUUUCUGUCAUAGCACAUCGCUGGUUUGAAAUCCAGCUCCAGCUAUGGUUAUUGAGGUGCCUAAAGCAGGAGCCCAUGACAAUGUCUGGCACACAGUGUCAGAAGCUAAGUGGUUGUGGUGUUUGGGGAAUUUGAACCAAAGGGGACAUAUUGUAAUAGUAAGCUUUUAUGUUUUAUAUUGUGUAUGAUUUAGAAUGAGGGAUGAAGAAUAAUGAGAUAAUUUAGCAUGUAUUAAAUGUAUUGGUGUAUGGUUUGAUCAUCUCCUGUCAGCCACCCUUUUUGAAUAGCAAAAAGGAAUGGCCUAAUGGGCCAUUUGGUAAAGAUGCAUCAGCCAGAAUCUGUAUCUGGGCUAAUUUCAAGAAAAUAACAGAUGUUUUAAGGUCACUACUUUGCUAUAGGUUUAGCAUUUUAAAAUAAGUAAAAGAAUGCCAUGAUUGUUUUCUUGUGCAUUGCAACUUGAUGUUCCUGUUUAAAAUGUUCUGUGUAAAUUAAUUCUGUUUUGUGUGUGAAUGAGGAAUGUGUGUGUAAAGAGAUAAGUGUGAAGGUCAUCGCUGAGCCAGAUGUAUGAGGGAGGAACCAGAGACAGAGGCAAGGGCGCCAGGAGGCUGCAACACGCGCAUGUUGAAAUGUCAGAGGAGGGCAGAUUGAUUACUUUAAAGAUGAGACAGGCACCUAUCAAUAGGGACAUGAUAGCUGUGAUAAAGAAUGAGAAGGACAAUUUAAGAAAACAAGCACUUGUCAAACAACAAUUGAUUACAGCAUGAUGGAGCAAAACUCAUUGGUCCCAAUGAAGGAAAAUCACUAUCUAAAUAGGGUGCCUUGCCAUGAAAUUUUGAGUUCAUCCUGCCAAGACUUCCCCGGAUCAUUGUAUCAUGACCGAAGGAACCCGGCUCCUCCCUACCCAUGAUCAACCUAGCUGGCCACUAGAUUGAUCUGGACUCUGGACUGGUAACUAUAAAUCGAUUAGUGGGACUGUGUGUGUGGUGUGAUUGAAUGCAUAUGCUAAUAGUUGUAUCUUCAAUAAAUGUGGCGUAUUGCCUUUUCCCCUGAAAAAG